AGAGUUUGAUCCUGGCUCAGGAUGAACGCUGGCGGCGUGCCUAACACAUGCAAGUCGAACGAAGACAUCUGAGUGCUUGCACUUGGAUGGACUGAGUGGCGGACGGGUGAGUAACGCGUGGGUAACCUGCCUUAUACAGGGGGAUAACAGUUGGAAACGACUGCUAAUACCGCAUAAGCGCACGGUAUCGCAUGAUACAGUGUGAAAAACUCCGGUGGUAUAAGAUGGACCCGCGUCUGAUUAGCUUGUUGGUGAGGUAACGGCCACCAAGGCGACGAUCAGUAGCCGGCCUGAGAGGGUGAACGGCCACAUUGGGACUGAGACCACGGCCCAAACUCCGUACGGGAGGCA
rnacentral:rRNA from 1 species